UCAGGCCUAACACAUGCAAGUCGAACGAUGAAGAUGGAGCUUGCUCCGGUGGAUUAGUGGCGAACGGGUGAGUAACACGUGAGCAAUCUGCCCUUGACUCUGGGAUAACUGCGGGAAACUGUAGCUAAUACCGGAUACGACACCUUGGGGCAUCCCAGGGUGUGGAAAGAAUUUCGGUCAAGGAUGAGCUCGCGGCCUAUCAGCUAGUUGGUGAGGUAAUGGCUCACCAAGGCGACGACGGGUAGCCGGCCUGAGAGGGUGACCGGCCACACUGGAACUGAGACACGGUCCAGACUCC
rnacentral:rRNA from 1 species